CACCCUGGGCUGCAGGAGCUGUAGGCCCCCCCGGGAGAACCUCUCUUCUCUGCCCUGCGCGGGCUCUUGAGGACCGUGGUCAAAGGAGCCCAAGUCUUGCAUCGCGGCAUCCUGACACACACUCAUUGGCCCCAUGAAGUCGGGGGCGCUGAUUGAGAAGCGUUAUGGUGAGGUCACUGCCAGCUGUGAAUGCGCUCUCUGCUUGCCAGGAACGACCGCAUCCUGUUCCACGUCCUGGAACUGCUGGGCUCAGGUGUGCAGCCCCGUGUCCAGAAUAAUGCCUGCCCCAUCACAAGAGAGUUGGCUCCCAUCCUUCCUCUUGCUGACGGAGUCGUUUGGGGCUGGAUGUGCUCGGAGGAGAGGUCAUAAGGUAAAGAUAGGAGGUGGGCGAGCAGCCCUGCUGUAUGAAACCUCAACUUUCCACAUCCUGCUCGUCUUCAAGGCCAGCUCUGGGCCCAGCACCCUCGGGGACCCUGGGCCCCUCUGGUCCACAGGGUGAGCUCCCUUCAGAGGACACAGCACACACGGCCAUGCAGGGCUGGGUGACCUGGCAGGUGAGAAAGCUCUGCCUCCUCCACCCGAGUGGGGGCUCCUGGAGGUUAAGGGUCAUGUCUUCUUGGCUUUUAUCCCCAUGAUGUCAGCACAGGGGAGGCUCCCCGGGAGAGUUUUUCCCCCAGCAUGCCUGGGAACUGCCGUCAGCCACCAUCAUGAAAGCUGAGGUGUUUGCUUGUCAUCACUUACAUAUUUUCAGCUUAAAUAUCAUACAGUUUCUUCGUAUCUUCCAAUGAAUGAAAGGAAAAAAAUGUAUAUGGGGGGGGGGUGAAAAUUAACUCAUAAAAAUCCUUGACUUACCAAAAAAAUUCAAGAAAUGUGUUUCAUACACACAGAUGUGGCAAUUGGGAUUCUCCUUUCAUGUGCAGGAGCCCCAGGAUGGAAGGACUGCCAGGCGUACCGAGGGAAGUAUUUCUCAUCUCUGUAAAGUUGAUAGAAUCUAAUUUCUUAGUGAAGAAACUUGCUGCGGUUGUUAGUUUGUGGUAACUGCCCCUGUUUAACUGGUUUAUGGCUAAUCCCAAUCCCAAAGAAUAGUAUAAUUCAGUUAUCUACGAUGGUGUGGAAGGCACAAUUUGUGCAUUAAAGGGCAAAAGCACACUGUUCAGGUGGGCUGGCCCUUGGGAGCCCUCCUGAGAUAUUUCACAGCGGGUAUGAGUAGGUGGGGGAGGACAUAUUUUGUUUCACCUGCUUAAAAUGUUUUCAGACCAAUAACCUUGUGGCCAUUCUCUAUGUUAGAUCCAAUUUCAGGCUCUUUCUUCUGGAGCAUCUUGGUCCUGUCCACUGCUGCUCCUUUAGUCUACUUCUGCAGUGAGUGGGGUAUUGUGUGUCCUUUCCUGGCACUGGAACAUUUAUAAAUGUAGCAAGCCUUCCUCUGCUUUGGCUGCUGGCUAAAUCCUAUGACUCUACACCUAACCAACCUCAUAAAUAGGGAGGCCUCGUACCGUUGUGCAGGUUGCACACUGUACAACUCCAAGGAGUGCCAUUUACAUGGACCACAAUGGAACCUCCAGAGCUGUAUUAGGACGACCUGCACAAUACUCCAGUAAAGCCCCAUCUCAUAAAUUUCUCUAUAUGCCAAGGGCUCUCUUCUAAAUACCACCCUGACAAAACAGACAAAAUUCCUACCCCCAGGAAGCUUACACUCUAGUGGGGGGAAAUACAUAAUAAACAAAUUACAGAUGCCUAUGUGUAAUAUUAUGUCACACAUAUAAUAUUACAUAUGUACAUACAGCACUACAUACGUGCAUAUGUAAUAUUACAUGUAUAUGUAAUUAUGUCUAAUAUAUUAGUGGUGAUAAAGAAGUAGAAAAUAAAUCAGGGAAGGGGAAGAGAGUGGCGGAGGUGAAUUUUAGAGAGCAGAGAUCUGGGAAGGACUUUCUGAGAAGAUGCCAUUUGUGCGAAGCCUGAAGAGUGAGGAAUGUGCUGUGUUCCCUGGGGAAAGGACACUCCACACAGAAGGAACAGCAAGUGCAAAGGCCCUGAGGCAGGAGUGUGACCAGUGCUGAAGAAGUGGCAGGGAGGCUGGUGUGGCUACAAUGGGGUCAGAGGGAUAGUGACGUGGUCAGAUGGAUCCCAAAGCAGGGCCACUUCAGGCUUUGGAGGCUGUGAUGUACUUGGAACUUACUCUGCAUCAGAUGAGAAGCCAUCCAAGGGUUUUGAGUAGAGGAGUGGCAAAAUUUCAAAAAAAUCACCCUGACCAACAACUUGAGAUCAGACAAAGGAUACAGAGGAGGAAGCAGGAGACCAAUUAGGAGCAAUUGGGGGGAUUCUGAGGUGACGGUGCCCUGAGCCAGCUUGGUGGUGGGAGCAGGUGAG